UGUCCACUGCUGUGCCUCAGCUUGCUAACCCUUUCAUGCCACCAUUUCACACACAGCAUCUUUUCAGGCAAGAACAGCAAAAUGCCAGAGACAAAAUCUGCUAAAGAGUGCAGGAAAAGACAUCACCUUUAUGGAAUUGAAGCCUAAGGGCAUGGGGAGCUUAUUUUUAAAUCGUCUAGUCCAUAGAAAUUUGUCAGUAACAUCCAGUCGGAACAAUGUGAGAGAAGCUGAAGCCUGGCUGACCUGCAUUGGAAGAAGCAGUCCCUAAAGGAGACUUGCUCACUGGACAGAGAAAGAUGCAAAAGCUGAACCAUUCUCAGAGAAAAAAGAAUGAUGAGUGCAUGAUAGAGACACCUGGACACAUUAUUCAUUUUAAAAGGGUGCAAAACCGAAGGAAAGACAUUUGAUAUCAAAAGAGGACAAAGAAGAUUCAACAGAGCCUCAGUAAAACAAGAUGGAGUUGGCUAAGGAGGAACAUCAAGCAGGACCACAGAGGCUUUUGGCUUCCUGAAGAGAAUCUCUUGGGUCAUUUCCUUUUUCAUAGAUUUGAGCUAGGACGAAAACCCAAAACACUUCUUGAGAUUUUUCGUUGUUUAUACAUAACAUGCAAACCACUGCACAACUGAAGACAGUGCCUCCUCAGGCUUGCCAUUUAGACCUUCUGGUUUGUAUUUGUGUCCAGUUGAUAUUUGUGAGAAUUUCUUGCAAACACAGGAUGAGUCAAUGAGCAGGGAAACUUUUUGUUUCACUUCGCGGUCAGUUUUCCAGGGAGUUAAAAUGUGCAGAAUUCAUUGUGAGGCCAUGGCAAUUUAAGAGCAGAGUGUGGUAGGAGGCUCCUUAGGGCCCAAAGUCGGCCAAAGGCGCCCAGAGAAAUGAAAAACAAACAGAAAACCCCAAACCAAACCCAAAAGAUAUUAGAAUGAUGGAACCACAGUGUUGGUUGGAAGGGACCUGUAGAGGUUGUUUUGUCCCAAUCCCUGCUCCAAGCAGAAUUAUUGCCAGCACUAGAUCAGGUCAACCAGGGCUUUGUCUGGCUCUGAGAAUGGAGAUUUCACAGGGCCCCAGUGUAACCUGUUCCAUGGCAGCACCGCCCUUUCAGCAAGGAGAAUUUUCCUAAUGCGCAUUUUGAACCUUCCAAGCUGGAAUUUUUAUUUUUCUGCUUCUUGUUUCAUAUUCUGCCACUGCCAAAAAGAGUUUGACUUUUUCAUUUUUGUAGCUGCCUUUAAAUACACCAGUGACUGCUAUUAACCACUGUUAAGCAUUCUUCUCUGCCACCCUAGAGAUGUGUGGUUCUGUCACCCUCCAUUUCUGUGUCAGGUGUUCCUGUUAUAGCAAAGCUGCCUCACAAACCCUGGAUUAUUGUCUCCACUGUUAAGUGAAGAAGAUGUACAGUCAAGUAAGAGUUUUCCAGCCAUACUGACCUUUUGAAAUGUUUGGAAACCAAAAUAAGUUGCCAAGGAUCUGAGCAGAACAAUCAAGGUCUAACUUCAGACAAUCCUGUAGACUAACAACAUGUAUUAAGCUUAUACAGUGAGCUGCAAAAACUCUAUUAGACCAGGAAGGGAAAAUCACAUAUAUGUUUGGACAAUGUACUGAUUAUGAGAUUCCCAAGUGCAAUACAUAAAUAAAUGCCUCUCUUCCUCUUUUCUUGCAACACUGACACGCUUUUACAUGUAAAAUGCUAUGCAAAAUAUUUUCUCACAAUUUUUCGCCACUAUCAAAAGAUUCUUAUAAUAUUUUAUCAGGUUAUUCUACUUUGCACACUUGCUUUGGUUUUUGAUAAACAUGGUUUCUGAUCACAAGGAGGAAAUGUUUAGACUCAUGUCUAGGCAAUUUCAGCUGGAAAGGACCUGCAAUGAUCAUCUAGUCCAACUUCGUGACAGAUUCAGGGUUUACCAAAAGUUCAAACAUCUUAUUAAGGACACUGUACAAAUGUCUCUUAAACACCAACAGACCUGGGGCAUUGACCUCUCUAGAAAUCCAUUACAGAGUUUGACCACCCUCUCAGUAAGCAGAGGUUUCCUGAUUCCCAGUCUCAGGUGCAUCUCCUCAGGUGCAUCUUUGAACUAUCUUAUCCCUGGUUCCUCUGGAGAAGAGCUGAGAGCUUCCCUCUCCACUUCCUCUCCCCAGAAAAUAAUGAAAUUUUAUUUUUUUAUCCCUUUUAUCCAAACUAUAGAAGCUCAAAAUCCUUAGCUGCUCUUCAUGGGACAUUUUGUGCAGCCCUUUCACCAGCUUUGUUGUCCUCUGAAUGCAUUUUCAGAAUCACUGGAAAGCACUUUAAAGAUCAUCUGGUCCAACAUUUCUUGACAAAGGCCAAGAUGGUGCAGUCCACUGUCCAGUCAAAUGUUAAAAUUCUCUUAUGUUGGGGAAUCCAUUCUGGGAAGACUAUUUCAAUGGCUGAUUGCUCUCAUUGUGAAAAAAUUUCCUCUUUUUCCAAUCAGAAUCUCUUCAAGAGUUACUUGUACCAUUACCCCACACCAUUUCCAUGCAACUCCUCAUUAAAAAGGAAUCUCCCUCUUCCUUGUAGCCACCCUUUGAAUACAGGAACAUGAUGAUAAGGUCUCCCCUAAGCCUUCUUUUCUCAAGGCUGAAAAAAACCAGCUCUCUCAGCCUUCCCUCAUGCGGCAGGAAAGGACUUGAACAUUCUCCUUGAAUUGUGGAGCCCAGAACAGAACACAGCUCAUGAGGUGAGGCUGCACCAACACUGAACACAGGGGGACAAUCCCCUCUUUUGACCAGCUGGUUUGAUGCCACCUGGAAUGGGGUUUGCUCUGCUGGCUCUCACUGAGGCUGCUGAGCAGCACCCCCAGAUCCCUUUCAUCAUCAUCAUCAUCAUCAUC